AUUGAACGCUGGCGGAAGGCCUAACACAUGCAAGUCGAGCGGAUGAAGGGAGCUUGCUCCUGGAUUCAGCGGCGGACGGGUGAGUAAUGCCUAGGAAUCUGCCUGGUAGUGGGGGAUAACGUCCGGAAACGGGCGCUAAUACCGCAUACGUCCUGAGGGAGAAAGUGGGGGAUCUUCGGACCUCACGCUAUCAGAUGAGCCUAGGUCGGAUUAGCUAGUUGGUGGGGUAAAGGCCUACCAAGGCGACGAUCCGUAACUGGUCUGAGAGGAUGAUCAGUCACACUGGAACUGAGACACGGUCAAGACUCCUACGGGAGGCAGCAGUGGGGAAUAUUGGACAAAGGGCGAAAGCCUGAUCCAGCCAUGCCGCGUGUGUGAAGAAGGUCUUCGGAUUGUAAAGAACUUUAAGUUGGGAGGAAGGGCAGUAAGUUAAUACCUUGCUGUUUUGACGGUACCAACAGAAUAAGCACCGGCUAACUUCGUG
rnacentral:rRNA from 1 species